UUACGGUCACAUCACGCUGAAACUCCGGAUUUCGUACAAUCACCGAAGUUAAGGAACGUCUCACUUGGUUAGUACUUAGAUGGGUGACUGUUUGGGACCACCAG